UUUGUCUACGUUUACAAUGGGCAACAACGCUUGCUUCAGUAAACCGGCACCACUCGUGUCUGGUAAAAUCAAAGCGAUUCAGAUUUUGGCGUUAAACUAUUUCGAUACCUUGAGAUCUUGUAAUGUGUAAUGGAGAGUACAGUAAUCUACUCAGUCUGAUUCUUAUAAUUUUGAGCCAAUAUUAGAAAAAAAGGUAUAUCUCACUCUUUGUAUCUCCCCACCCUGUCACCAUGCAGUUGGCGCCAUCCGCUACGACAACUUCAGGAAGACACACGAUGUCGACAUAUUCGUUCAGAAUGAAAGGCUUGUCCAGUUUAAAAAGAGUGAUGUCAUUGUCAAUGAGGUCAGAGUCAUAACUCUCGUGCAUCAGGAUCUUGGUGACUCGUCGGAUCUGUUGAUGGGGAUCGUCCUUCUUCUCAUGGUGCUUGCCCGCCUCUAUGGUCAGAUGGUCCAGGUUGCGAUUGCUAAGAAAAGGCAAAGCUUUACAGAUUUUGAAAUUUUUUGCCUGAUUCUAAGUAGGUCUUUAAUUGAUAAAAAGAAGCCGCCAUUGAUUUAUUGAAUGUACAUGUAUAAAGAAUUCAGAACUACAACCUAUCGAAAAAAAAAUGUGUGAUAUUCUGGUAUUCAUCCCUUUUACAAUAAUGAGAAGAAUCUACUGACAACAAACCAGCCUUAUCUCAAACAAACAACAAGGACCUUUUACGAGGAACUUCAUCCAUUAUCUAUAUAGAUGGCGACAUAUUCUGAUAUGUAUCUGACUUGUCGAUGACAACUUACUCCUCCACGCAGUGCGAGGCAGUGACGACCCAUUGUGGGUGGAUGAUGCUGCCCCCGCAGUUGUGACGUCCGUAGUGCUUCAUAGAGAUCUGCCAGGGCCAGCUGUUAGGGAUGGCUUCUCUUCCUCCCACAAUCCUUGUGUUACUUUCGAUUGGUUUAAUCGCUGGGCGCCCACAGACACCGUCAUUACCUUAACAACGCAAGAGUUCUGUUACGAACUUUUAGUUAAAAAUAAACAUGUACAAAGAACAUAGUUGAAAUGAAAGAUGUACAUGUAUUUUGAAAAAGAUUGGUAAUUUGCCAAAGUCUGCAAGAUCGAAAAUAAGAAUCGUAGUGUCAAUUUCUCUUUGGUCAAUUUUAAAUGUCGCUGCAAAUUCCUUUGCUAAACUGACGCUGAUGGCGCCAAGAAGCAAAAUGUGAAUCUUACCACAGACCAACUCGUCGGAUCCAUCGCCGCAAUCGUCGUGUCCGUUACAGACCUUGGAGUAGGCAAUGCAGUGUGUGUCCCGGCAACGGAACUCGCUGUCUUGGCAGGAAGCUAAAAUGGUACACCAAGAUCAGUUGCAUGGCACCUUUAUGACUUGCUUGGCUGCUUAUUUCACUAUGUUGUAAUUUACAUCAAUAUGUGAAGUGCUAAGAAAAUAUUAGAUUUAAUAGACAACAACGGGUCUCUAUGUCAUAUUAAAAAAAUUAAAACAGAAGAAAAAACUGACGUAAUGGAUCUUCAAUGGUGUAGGUCAGAUUAAAGCCGAAUCCCCCCGCGGUUUCGUCCGAGAUGAAUUGGAUGUACAUGUGGUUGGUCUCUGACGUCAUCUUUUCCGGGUACACCAUCCCGCAGAGCUUGUCCAUCAGCAAGCCGUAGGAGUUCUUCCCGUCGUAAACUGACAGGUAGUCAUAGUUACAGUUCUCCGUACUCUCCGCUUCAAACGCCUAGUUAGAAAAGAGGAAGUUAAAAGACAAUUUUACGAUGCAUUUGUAUUAUCAUAUACACGUGUAUUCUUCAGCUACGUGGCAAAGCCUAUUGCAGUGAGAGUUUAACGGUUUAUAAACGGAUAGUAUCUGGCUUGGUCACUUUACAGAAUUCGAAAACCAUCUUUGUAAACGUAGUCUAUUGAAAGAGUGAAUAAUGGAUGAACUAUACACAUAGUGAAAAUACGCACAUUAAACCACAAGGUGAUCACUUUGCCGACAGGUGCGUUGAUUUUCCACUGACAGUUCAGAUUAUUAGGGUAUUCUGUAACCCCGUCGUAAAGAUCGGACAGGAUGGUUCCAGACGUUGCCGUAAGGACGGUCGGGGUACCAGUACAAGCUGCGAUGUCCGUAACCUGGUGGUCUGUAAAAAAUAAAAGUGAAUGUCGAUGUCAUCAAUUCAACGUACAAGCUACAAGAUGUAGUGGUGAUGAAGAAUUUGGUUUACCAUUAGGUUUUACUGCUGUAAAGACGGCCCUGAAUCCGAUGUCGUGGUAGACCUUGUCACUGGUGAAGACAACCAUCAUGUUGUUGGUUUUGGACCACUCCUCGUGAGGCAGACGGUUGCCGCAGAUUGUAGCUAUCAGCUCAUCAGAGGCGCUGGGACCGUCAUAGAUCUUCAAACUGUCGUACUUACAUUGGUGAGACAUCUCUGUACCGAAGUCAUUGAAGUGGAGCUUAAUGUUGUACCCCUCCGGACCAAAAAUUCUCCAGACGCAUGUUGUGUUGUCCUUAUAGUGUCCACUGGGAUCAAAUCCCGGGGUUUGAAUGGUUCCGGCCCCAUUGUAAUAGAUAUCUUUGUCACAGCCAAAUGGACCAGGAUCAACUGUGGGGUUUACGUAGGUAGGGUCCCCUUGAAGUGAAAGCAAGAUUGUACUAUUUUUAAGAUGUUUGGAUCUUGACAAAUUCCUUUUGAGAAGUGGAGAAGUUUGUUCUUUGAUUUCAUUUAUAUAUUAGCAUUUUUUUGGAUUGAGUAAAAAUAA
rnacentral:sRNA from 1 species